AGUGAACGCUGGCGGUAGGCCUAACACAUGCAAGUCGAACGGCAGCACAGUAAGAGCUUGCUCUUACGGGUGGCGAGUGGCGGACGGGUGAGGAAUACAUCGGAAUCUACUUUUUCGUGGGGGAUAACGUAGGGAAACUUACGCUAAUACCGCAUACGACCUACGGGUGAAAGCAGGGGAUCUUCGGACCUUGCGCGAUUGAAUGAGCCGAUGUCGGAUUAGCUAGUUGGCGGGGUAAAGGCCCACCAAGGCGACGAUCCGUAGCUGGUCUGAGAGGAUGAUCAGCCACAUUGGAACUGAGACACGGUCCAGACUCCUACGGGAGGCAGCAGUGGGGAAUAUUGGACAAAGGGCGCAAGCCUGAUCCAGCCAUACCGCGUGGGUGAAGAAGGCCUUCGGGUUGUAAAGCCCUUUUGUUGGGAAAGAAAAGCAGCAGGUUAAUACCCCGCUGUUCUGACGGUACCCAAAGAAUAUGCACCGGCUAACUUCGUG
rnacentral:rRNA from 1 species